rnacentral:lncRNA from 1 species
UGUCAUUCUUUCCCAGAAGUUGGUCACAAACCCAGGCUGGUCCAACAAGACAUUCUCUCUCAAGACCCCAAUCUUGAGUACAGUGGCUACAUUGUGGAAACUGCACCACAUAUCCACUCCAGGAAACAGGGUCAAGAGAAAAGGAUUGGGUCCAUGCUGCCUUCACACCAGAUCUAUCCUGGUUCCUGCUCUUGGCCCUCUAAAGUGACCUCAUCUUCCUAUUCAUUAUGCAAAUUUUUGACAUCCCUCCAGUGUAGAAGCUUCAUGUAUAAGGUUAACAAACGGUUUCUGCCUUACAAAGAAUCAUGGCCCAAACUCAAGUCCACUUGUGAAGAUGUUUUGGAGUUCCAUGCUGCCUCUGCUUCAGCAUCAUUGAACAUUGUGAAGGUUGAUUCAUUCUAAAUUAAGAAUUCAUUUGGAAAUGGAAAAAGACAAAGAAAACUGUGUCUACUGCGAUGCCUAAGAACAAUCUGGACACUGGUAGGAAAGAGCUGUGCUAUCUGACUUUUGUGUUUAAUUCAUUCUAGUGUGCAUGAAGCAGGAGGCCACCAGUACCUUCCUUUCCAUGUAUGUUGGAUUCCUGAUGCUGUUCUAAUAAAUCACUCCAAUUUCAGUGACAUUAAAAACAACAUGAAUUCAGGCUGAGGAGAUGGCUCCGCAGACAGAAGCAACUAUCACCAACCAGUGUUGUGGCAUAUUAGUUAAAGAUGUAUUACAUUCUUUUAUGUCUUCAUCCAGCAGCUGGUGGAAGUAGAAGCAGACACCCACAGCUAAACCUUGGACUGAACUGAAAUCCAGAUGCAGAGAAUGAGGGCUGAUGAGCAAAGGGGUCCAUUCCAGGCUGGUGAAACCCACAGAAACAGCUGAUCUGAAUAAGGGAAAACUCUUGCUCCCCAAACUGAUAGCUGGGAAACCAGCAUGGGACUGAUCCAGACCCCCUGAAUGUGGAUGUCAGUGAGGAG